AAUACCUUCACAGAAUUUUCAUCUCACAAACCGCAAAAUAGACCACAACUGAGAAAAUCAAUCAAAUAACGCCUCAGAUCUACAGAAGAAGCCGAGAAAAACUAGUCGCCGGAAAUCGAGAAAGAAGACCUCGACGAUGAAUCAGAUGGCAAAAACUAACUACUCCUGAUAUCCGGUAACUGACUGAUUGUCGAAUACGCGGAGCUAGGAAACACGAAAUAAAAGGGAAGGAAAGGGAAGGGAAAAGAAGACGUCUCUGCACAAGCUUUGUUUUUUCACCUUUGCUUAAUAUUAUUUAAUUUCCUCUUUUGGGUGAAAUUGGCAGACACCGUAAAUUCAAGCAAAGUUGAAGGUUACAGUUGGGGCCGCCCACGGACCAACGAAGAAUCCAAGACCCUUCUUCCUUCCUACUUCACCAUAAAUUUCUCCCCCUUUUUUUUCUAAACAAUUGAAU
rnacentral:misc_RNA from 1 species